AAUAGGCGAAAAUACACAUGUGGAGACCUCCAUGUCGUUCCCCACGAUGCUUGUCGUGACUAGGAUGCCAUGGGACCCACGAAUGAGUCAGCAAAGAGUGAAAAGACAGAGUCAAAGGCCCAUGGCGCCCGCCACGCCAGUCAGCCAACCACGAUCUUCAAUAUUACACUGCAUGGCGAAUGUCAUGCAGUUCAAAAUCUGAAAAC
rnacentral:lncRNA from 1 species